GGUGUCCUUACUUCCUGUUCCUCGUGUAUAUAAUGCCGGGAUCACGUUGUGACGGUUAUUUCGGAGCCGGACUUCGGAUGAGGAUCAGUGAAGGUACAAAUAGUUUCUUACACUUGCACAAUCUGAAAAUUCAGAACCAUGGCUAGUAAAAGGAAGACAAGACUGGCAACUUCCACUCGCAUGAGUAACUUCAUUGGAACUGGUUGAGAAAUGCUGCCAUCUGAACUCCCAACUCCGGGUGGUCUCAGAUAUGGCCUUCUGCUAAGAGCGCAGAGUGGAGCGAAUGUCAGAUUACCCAGCAGCCACUCUUGCAAAGGAUAUUUGAAAAGUGGGAACUAGCAAGCUGUUUUGUGGUGCCAAUUUUAAAUUCGAGUCGGUCCUGAAGAUAGGUUUAUGGCCUUUUCCCUUACGGCCUUUUUAAGCUAUGUUCAGAAGUUGAGGGUCCAGGUGGUGUUGCCUGAACACAAAGUGCACAUCUCCUGCUCUUCUUCUAAGGACAUGAAGAUACCUGUCAAAGAAGUACUCUUAAUAGUCAGAGAAGGUUGGGUCUGUUGGACGGCAUCAGAUUGGAUUACCAGAUCUACCUGAGCACAGCACAAGACACAUUAAAAAGCAGAAGAGGAAAGAAGUAAACAUCUCUGAAUAUAAGCAGAAAUGAGCAAGCUUGUUCAAGAGCCAAUGCAAGUUCCAAAGUGGCCAUAUCAUGGACAGUCCAUAGAGGUGAUCUAGAAAAAAGGUUGGCAUGAUGCUGGAUUUUAAAAGGUGGAUGACUGAAGGCUACACUACAAGAUCCAUGGACCCUCUGCAUGCAGUGACUGGCACAUGCAAAGAUCUUGGGUGAUUUAGAAAAAAGGUUGGCAUGAUGCUGGAUUUUAAAAGGAUAUGAAUGGUAGCUGGUCUGAGAAGGUGAAGCUGUAUUGUGUUGAAAGGUUAUCUAGAUAAAGGUUGGCAUGAUGGUGAAUUUUAAAAGGCCAUUGAUGACCUGAGGCUGACGGGCUGCUGUACAGGAGGCUGGUGUAAAGGCAGUCGUUUUGGAAUUGAAUGCAGUAUUGAUGAAUUUUGGUGGAAACUGACAGCUAAAAUAAAGAUAAAUGAAACUAA